rnacentral:lncRNA from 1 species
AUGGUAUUUAUUGAGCGCUUGCUGUGGGCGCAGCGGUAUACCAAGUGGCCUACCCCGGCCUCCGGCCCCAAGGAGAGCCCGCCCUGGCUGAGUCUGGGGGCCUGCAGGUCCGUGCCCCCCGCUCCCACCCGCCGCAGCCUCAGUGGGCCAAAGCAGAGGCGUCGGAGGUGGGGAAGGGGCUGCAGCAGCGUUGAUGGGGUUAACGCACUAAGGGGGGGGGUCUCCUUGAGCCCCACCCUCCAUCCCCUCAUCCAGGGAUUGUGUGUGCGCACAAGUGUGCGUACAAGUGUGUCGGUGGGAGGCUGUGUCUACACGGGGAGAGGCGUGUGUGUGUGUGAUGGUGACCGUGUAGCUGGGAGGGGGCGAAUAUGUAGGGGGAGAUGUGUGCAUGUGUGUGCGCGCAUGAACGUGUGUGCGCGCAUGUAUACGGGGAGGCAGCUUAGCCGGUGGAGAGGGGAGGGGAGGGUUUCGACCCGCCUGUUCUCGACGCUUGGCCCUACGAUUCCAGUCCGGGAGGCCGGAGCCGCAUCGGGGGCCAUCUCUCCGAGGGCUGCCCGCCGUCGGGAAGGGACACUGUCUUCUUCUCCCCUCUCGCGGACCCUUCGCCCCGGUCCCGAAGGACGGCCCCGCCUGGACCACUGGGCCGGCGGCGGGCGUGGGCAUGAUUCAGCGGCCGGAGGCUCUCCGCCCCCCUCCCCCGUCCCGUUCUGUCUCCGCCCCCUCCCCAUCCCCUCCCCAUCCUCAUCCCCAUCCCCUCCCCAUCCCAUCCCAUCCCUCUUCGCCGGAGCUGCCAGCUGCCCGUCUUCGCCGGGACUUCGCCGAGGCCAUGGUGGUCCUUCGGGGCGGGGGCUGGGAUGCGAUGCGAUGGCUGGGAUCCGGGGUGGGGGUUGGGAUGCGCUGGUUGCGAUAGGGUGGGGGUGGUGAUGUGACGGUGGGGAUGGGGUGAUGGUCGCGAUGGGGUGGGGUGACGGUUUCUCCUCGCCGACAGGCUCCGGCUCUCGGUAGGCCCCAGCGGCCGGGGGUCUGGGGUCUGCGGACGACCCUCCCCGUCUGGGCUGGGGGUG